AGCGGUAGAAGAAAAAAGCUUGCUUUUUUCUUUGAGAGCGGCGAACGGGUGAGUAACACGUUGGUAUCUGCCCCCAAGUCAGGGAUAGCCAUUGGAAACGAUGAUUAAUACCGGAUAGUCUCUUCGGAGUAAAAAUUUAUUGCUUGGGGAGGAGCCUGCGGUCUAUCAGCUUGUUGGUGAGGUAAUGGCUUACCAAGGCUAUGACGGAUAUCUGGUCUGAGAGGAUGAUCAGACACAAUGGAACUGAGACACGGUCCAUACUCCUACGGGAGGCAGCAGUGAGGAAUCUUCCACAAUGGACGAAAGUCUGAUGGAGCGACACCGCGUGAAGGAUGAAGGCCUAACGGUUGUAAACUUCUUUUCUGAAGGAGCAUAAUGAGAGUACUUCAGGAAUAAGGGGCGGCUAAAUACGUGCCAGCAGCCGCGGUAAUACGUAUGUCCCAAGCGUUACCCGGAAUCACUGGGUGUAAAGGGUUCGUAGGCUGUUUAAUAAGUUGGAUAUGAAAGACCGAAGCUCAACUUCGUGUUUGUAUUCAAAACUAUUAAGCUAGAAUCAGGGAGAGGUAAGUGGAAUUCUGUGUGUAGGGGUGCAAUCCGUAGAUACACAGAGGAACACCAAAAGCGAAGGCAACUUACUGGAACUGUAUUGACGCUCAUGAACGAAAGCGUGGGUAGCGAAAAGGAUUAGAUACCCUUGUAGUCCACGCCCUAAACGAUGAUAACUAAGUGUUGCGACUUGCUUGCAGUGCUGAAGCUAACGCGAUAAGUUAUCCACCUGAGGAGUACGGUCGCAAGAUUAAAACUCAAAGGAAUAGACGGGGACCCACACAAGCAGUGGAUCACGUGGUUUAAUUCGACAAUAA
rnacentral:rRNA from 1 species